ensembl:miRNA microRNA 223
GUGUAUUUGACAAGCUGAGUCCGACACUCAGUGUGCAGAGUGUCAGUUUGUCAAAUACCCCAAGUGAGGCA